AAGAUAAAAGAAUUUGAAUUGCACUCAAAGAAAGCUAAAGCUUUAUCUUA
rnacentral:tRNA from 1 species